CAUCAACAUAGCAUCAUGACUGCAUAAACAUACACGCCACUUUCCUAAAGCCAAAUGGCGUGUUAUCUAUACGCAUUUUCAGCUAUCCAUGUCUACGCUGUAUACAGCAGAUGUAAACAUACCCACCACGUGGCGUCGCCACGUUGCGUGUUAUCGCGAGAACAUGACGUACUAUCGCGAGAACAAUGACACACGGAAUCACAAUAA